GGCGUAAAGAGUGGUUAAGAAAAAUUAUUAAACUAAAGCCGAACACUCUCAAAACUGUUAUACGUACCCGAGAGCAAGAAGUCCCCCCACGAAAGNNGCUUUAAUCAUUCUGAACCCCACGAAAGCCGGGAAACAAACUGGGAUUAGAUACCCCACUAUGCCCAGCCCUAAACUUUGAUAGGAUAAUUACACCCCCUAUCCGCCCGGGAACUACGAGCACUAGCUUAAAACCCAAAGGACUUGGCGGUGCUUUAGAUCCCCCUAGAGGAGCCUGUUCUAGAACCGAUAACCCCCGUUAAACCUCACCCUCCCUUGUUCCUCCCGCCUAUAUACCGCCGUCGUCAGCUUACCCUGUGAAGGAUUAAUAGUAAGCAAAGCCAGCACAGCUCAAAACGCCAGGUCGAGGUGUAGCGCAUGAGAGGGGAAGAGAUGGGCUACAUUCCCUAACCCAGGUAAUACGAAAAAUGCAAUGAAAGCGUUAGAAGGAGGAUUUAGUAGUAAGCAAGAAAUAGAGCGUCUUGCUGAAA
rnacentral:rRNA from 1 species